GAGUUUGAUCGUGGCUCAGGAUGAACGCUAGCGACAGGCCUAAUACAUGCAAGUCGAGGGGCAGCAGGGAUAGCAAUAUUCGCUGGCGACCGGCGCACGGGUGCGUAACACGUAUACAAUCUGCCUUUAACAGGGGGAUAGCCCGGAGAAAUCCGGAUUAAUACCCCAUAACAUUCGAAAUGGCAUCAUUUUGAAUUAAAAGCUCCGGCGGUUAAAGAUGAGUAUGCGUCUGAUUAGCUAGUUGGUGAGGUAACGGCUCACCAAGGCGACGAUCAGUAGGGGAUCUGAGAGGACUACCCCCCACACGGAUACUGAGACACGGAUCCGACUCCUACGGGAGGCAGCAGUAAGGAUAUUGGACAAUGCCCGCAAGGGUGAUCCAGCCAUGCCGCGUGCAGGAAGACGG
rnacentral:rRNA from 1 species